rnacentral:misc_RNA from 1 species
AAGGAUCAUUCACAAUAAGUGUUCAAUGGCACUUUAAAAUCCAUUACCCACCUUGUGUGCAAUGUAAGGAGGAGGGGUGUCACAAACCCCUCUUUCAUUAUACAUACCAAUCUUCUCUUGUUGUCUAACUUUUUGAGUAUAAAAAAACUCGAAUACAACUUUCAACAACGGAUCUCUUGGCUCUC